AGCGAACGCUGGCGGCAGGCCUAACACAUGCAAGUCGAACGAUCCUUCGGGAUGGUGGCGGACGGGUGAGUAACACGUGGGAACGUACCUUUAGGUUCGGGAUAACUCAGGGAAACUUGAGCUAAUACCGGAUGUGCCGUUCGGGGGAAAGAUUUAUCGCCUUUAGAGCGGCCCGCGUUAGAUUAGCUAGUUGGUGAGGUAAAGGCUCACCAAGGCUCCGAUCUAUAGCGGGUCUGAGAGGAUGAUCAGCCACACUGGGACUGAGACACGGCCCAGACUCCUACGGGAGGCAGCAGUGGGGAAUCUUGCGCAAUGGGCAAAAGCCUGACGCAGCCAUGCCGCGUGAAUGAUGAAGGUCUUAGGAUUGUAAAAUUCUUUUAGCAGGGACGAUAAUGACGGUACCUGCAGAAAAAGCCCCGGCUAACUACGUGCCAGCCGCCGCAGUAA
rnacentral:rRNA from 1 species